GAUGAACGCUAGCGAUAGGCCUAACACAUGCAAGUCGAGCGGGCAAUUUAUCUAGCACUGAUUACUUCAAAUGGCUAUCGCCAGUGUAAUCAUGAAUUUCUACCUUAUUAAUAAAGAAAGAGAAAUUCAUGUACGCAAAUAGUGAUAACACAUUUUAGUGGAGUGAUGAGUGCUGGAUAAAUUGCUAGCGGCGGACGGGUGCGUAACACGUGGGUAACCUGCCCCUAUCACUGGGAUAACACACUGAAAAGUGUGCUAAUACCAGAUAACAUAAGCUUUUGGCAUCAUUAGCUUAUCAAAGAAUUUCGGAUAGGGAUGGGCCCGCGUCUGAUUAGCUAGUUGGUGAGGUAACGGCUCACCAAGGCAACGAUCAGUAGCCGACCUGAGAGGGUGAUCGGCCACACUGGAACUGAGACACGGUCCAGACUCCUACGGGAGGCAGCAGUGGGGAAUAUUGCACAAU
rnacentral:rRNA from 1 species